rnacentral:rRNA from 1 species
GCUCUAGCCUACAACAUGAUUGUAGCUAACACCCUCUUUAGAAAGAGAGAAUCACAUCUGGUGACUUUUAGUAGUGGCCAACACUCUAGCCAGAUUGAUUUCAUCCUCUCGAGAAGAGAAGAUAGGCGUGCGUGCCUAGACUGUAAGGUGAUACCUGGGGAGAGUGUUGUACCCCAGCAUAAGCUGGUGGUUGCUGACUUCCGCUUUCGGAUUCGUGUCCAGCGGGAUAAGUGUGCCAAGGUCGCUAGAACGAAGUGGUGGAAGCUCAAGGGGGAGGUAGCUCAGGUGUUCAAGGAGAGGGUAUUUAAGGAGGGCCCUUGGGAGGAAGGAGGGGAUGCGGACAAUGUGUGGAUGAAGAUGGCGACUUGCAUUCGUAAGGUGGCC